ACGUGAGGUGGACGAGCCCGCGGCGGGUUUGCCGAGCUCUGUGGCCGGCGCUGGCAGGAGCGAGGGCCGGGGCGCCCAGAGCUGGAGGUGGAGCAGGGCGGCGCGCAGCCAGGGCCAUGACGGGCAAUGCCGGGGAGUGGUGCCUCGUGGAGAGCGACCCCGGGGUCUUCACCAAACUCAUUAAAGGAUUUGGUUGCCAAGGCGCCCAAGUAGAAGAAAUAUGGAGUUUAGAGCCUGAGAAUUUUGAAAAAUUAAAGCCAGUUCAUGGGUUGAUUUUUCUUUUCAAGUGGCAACCAGGAGAAGAACCAGUAGGCUCUGUGGUUCAGGACUCCAGACUGGACACAAUCUUUUUUGCCAAGCAGGUAAUUAAUAAUGCUUGUGCUACUCAAGCCAUAGUAAGUGUGUUAUUGAACUGUACUCAUCAAGAUGUCCAUUUAGGAGAGACAUUAUCAGAGUUUAAAGAAUUUUCACAAAGUUUUGAUGCAGCUAUGAAAGGUUUGGCGCUGAGUAAUUCAGAUGUCAUCCGACAAGUGCACAACAGUUUUGCCAGACAGCAAAUGUUUGAGUUUGACGCUAAGACAGCAGCAAAAGAAGAAGAUGCUUUUCACUUUGUCAGUUAUGUUCCUGUUAAUGGGAGGCUGUAUGAACUAGAUGGGUUAAGAGAAGGACCGAUUGACUUAGGUGCAUGCAAUCAAGAUGACUGGAUCAGUGCAGUGAGGCCAGUCAUAGGAAAAAGGAUACAAAAGUACAGUGAAGGUGAAAUUCGAUUUAACUUAAUGGCUAUUGUGUCUGACAGAAAAAUGAUAUAUGAACAGAAGAUAGCAGAGUUACAAAGACAACUUGCUGAGGAACCCAUGGAUACAGAUCAGGGCAGUAAUAUGUUAAGUGCUAUUCAGUCAGAGGUUGCCAAAAAUCAGAUGCUUAUUGAAGAGGAAGUACAGAAAUUAAAAAGAUACAAGAUUGAAAAUAUCAGAAGGAAGCACAAUUAUCUGCCAUUCAUUAUGGAAUUGUUAAAGACUUUAGCAGAACACCAGCAGUUAAUACCACUAGUAGAAAAGGCAAAAGAAAAGCAGAAUGCAAAGAAAGCACAGGAAACCAAAUGAAGAAGAUGCUUUGGGAUGUGCAUACAUUUCUGCUUCUGCGCUUAUCUUCAUGGAAACCAUUAAGUAUAAAGAACCUUGAGCAACUUUCUCACUGACUCAGUGCACGUUUGGCAGUAGUACCAGUCUGUCUUGUCUUUAAUGCAUGGAUUCAUAAACUCUCCCUACCUGCAUCAUAUGCAUGUGGUACAUACUCAAUAAAAGCGGUGUUCAGAGAGCUUGCCCAAAUUCCAUUAUUUGACAUUGGAUCUGAGCACUCCUGUUGGUUCUUUGGGUAGAUAACUGCCAUAAUGAACCUAGAAAAUGGACAAAUGCUAUUCUCUACCUGUAAUUGUUAUAAUUAAUCUUUCAUUCAAUCUUCCAGCUCAGUUAAAUACUUAAAAUUUAUAAAUGUCAGAUCUUGAUUAAACUGAGUCUCUUUUCUUCUCAUCAUUAAUGAAAAAAAAUCAAUAUUUCUAUCUUAUAGUAUCUUAA